GUAUGUGGUUUAAUUCGAUGCAACGCGAAGAACCUUACCUGGUCUUGACAUCCGGAGACCCUUAGGAAACUAGGGGUGCUUCCAUCUGGAAGAAUCUGGAGACAGGUGCUGCAUGGCUGUCGUCAGCUCGUGUCGUGAGAUGUUGGGUUAAGUCCCGCAACGAGCGCAACCCUUGCCUUUAGUUGCCAGCAGUUCGGCUGGGCACUCUAAAGGGACUGCCGGUGUUAAACCGGAGGAAGGUGGGGAUGACGUCAAGUCCUCAUGGCCUUUAUGACCAGGGCUACACACGUACUACAAUGGCCGAUACAAAGGGCAGCGACACUGCGAGGUGAAGCCAAUCCCGUAAAAUCGGUCUCAGUCCGGAUUGGAGUCUGCAACUCGACUCCAUGAAGUUGGAAUCGCUAGUAAUCGUGAAUCAGAAUGUCACGGUGAAUACGUUCCCGGGCCUU
rnacentral:rRNA from 1 species